CAAGGAAUUUUCGGCAAUGGGGGCAACCCUGACCGAGCAACGCCGCGUGGGCGAGGAAGUCCUUCGGGAUGUAAAGCCCUUUUGUGUGAGAAGAAAGAAGGACGGUAUCACACGAAUAAGCAUCGGCUAACUACGUGCCAGCAGCCGCGGUAAUACGUAGGAUGCAAGCGUUGUCCGGAAUUAUUGGGCGUAAAGGGUGUGCAGGCGGUCUAUCAAGUCAGAUGUGAAAUAACUCGGCUAAACCGGGUGGGGUCAUUUGAAACUGGUAGACUAGAGUAGUGCAGAGGAUAGCGGAAUUCCCGGUGUAGUGGUGAAAUGCGUAGAUAUCGGGAGGAACACCAGUGGCGAAGGCGGCUAUCUGGGCACAAACUGACGCUGAGACACGAAGGCUAAGGGAGCAAACAG
rnacentral:rRNA from 1 species